CAGAACGACCUCCAUCUGCUUUCAAAAUUCACCAUCUAAAACGUCAUUUUCUCCAGACGGAGAAGCUGAAAAUUUCAGCAUCUAAAAAGGUUGAAGUGCUUUUGGUUGAUAAAUGACCAAAAUAACCUAUCUUCUCCCCCUUGGAAAAACGUUCUUUCCUCUGCUGUGAAAGUUCUAUACCCAUUUUUUUCACAUUUUCGCUGUGAAAGGUCCUUCCUGUUCUUUGUUCCUCUUCCGCAGUUGAGGUUUAGCUUUACGAUAAGAUACCAUGGCUGUGUUUCAUUUUGGUUGAAGUUAUCGUCGAUUGUAUUAUUCCUACUUACCAUCACUUAUAGCGGGAAAGCAGUUUCUGAUGUAGGGUAGAUUUGUAGAAGCCUUCCUGCUUAUAGAAUACAGCUUUUUAAGGUUUACAGUAGGAACUUAGGGACAGGGAUAGGAAUCCAAAGAGGGUCGGAUAUCGGAGGAAGAUUGCUAGAAUUUUCUGAAGCAUUGGAAUGACAAGGAAAUAAACUCAUGGUUUUACCCUUGUGCUGUCAAUCGUCCCCUGAAGCAUCAUAGUAGUAGUCGAGAGAAGAAAGUAGAAAUAUGACAAUGGAAUUUCCAUGAAUUUAUAGUAAACUCAAAGAUAGACUCAAUAGACCACUCUUUUUCUGUUCUUGGAAGCAAAGUUACAGAAUGACUGAGAGCAGUCCACAAAGCAGAGAGAGCAUAUCUGCAUUGUUGACUCAUAAUCAGAAAACCCUGCUCUGUAUUGAUAUAUUUAUUAUUAAUUCAUUGUUCUAUCAAAGAAUAUUCAUUCAUGCUAAAGAGAAGAGAAACAAAAGGCUGCCUGACGUUUUCAUACAUGUGUUCCAAUUUCUCCUUUUCUUUUGUUUCAAGUUCUGGACCUAAGUGUAAGUUCCUACAAGAGGACCAAGCAGAUCCUUCCACAGACCACUCAUAAUCUUAUGAGUUGAUCAAAAAUCGGUCAUGCUUACAAAAUGCAAUAUUCUAAUAUCUUAUAAUAUAAUUAAUGCAUACAUACACAUAUAUAUAUAGUAGAGUGCAAGUUUUUUUUCCCCUUAACUUCUUUAUGUUCAUUUUAUAGGGUGUUGCUGUUGCACUGCCUGUUUAUUUUGCUACACAGAGCAAGUGGCAGGCAUUCAAGUUGGCAACUCUUUCUGGUUUUGCGGAGCCGCUCGGCGUUGUAAUUGUUGCUUAUCUGUUCCUGAGCAGCAUAAGUCCCGAAAUUGGCUUGUUAGGAUCAGGUUUGUCGUACCAUCAAUCCCGAAGUACAUGAGCUUGUAACCUCUUUCCAUAUGAACAAAAAGAUGUUGUAAAUUCCUGAACCAAGAUGUUUUAUUUUAGUUGAUUUCUCUGAUAAUUUUAGCCAAACUAUGAGAUGUCUUAAAAGCAAAAAGGAUGAACAGCCCCAGUUUGCAAUGUACAUAAUUUGUUUCCUUGUAACAACAUGAACAUUGAAAAUGGGAAAAAAGAGAGGGGGUUACAAAUAAAUUUAUGGAUAUUGUACUUUUAUA